CGUCUUGUGGCUGCGGCCUGCCCCUCAGCCUCCUCCGCGCGGUUACCCCUGUACCCGCCGCCAUCCGUCCUGGCGCUCCGGAUGAGUCAAUGAGGGGCAGGGCCCGAGGAGUGGUCUUCCCAAGAACCCCUGGUGGCCUCCCAAGGCCGGUGCUGUGUACCUCCUCCCCGACAAAAGGGGAAACUGAGGCCCCGAGGGGAGUGGGAAGAGCCGGCUGGACGUCAGGCCCAGCCGCUGGUGCAGUGGUCCGUCCCCUCUGCCGGGGUGGGCCCCUCGGGUUUCGCGUGUCCUCGGGAAAGAGACUGGCGGGCCUCGUGGGCUGUGCGGCUAUCCUGGAGACAGAUGACAGCUCUCCCUUGGAUGGCUUUGCUGGUUCCGCACCAGCCAGCGCCCCCAUUUUUCCUGCAGCACCCUGAUCUGCACUCCCUGAGGGGCUCCCACUGUCCGCGGUGUGAGGAUGUCCCUGGGUAAGUGGUGCUGGUCAUGAGCACUUUGGGGGACCCUUCAAAUUCCCUUCUGGGGGACCCCAGCGGAGGGCAUGGUCAUGAAUUCCGAGAACUGUAUGGCAAAGCCGGGUGCAGAGGAGAGCCUGGCUAAGUUCUUUCAUUCUCCUGAGCUUGACUUUCUGUAAUGUAGGGAAACUGCGAAAGCUCUGUAAGUGGGGAGAUCUUGCACGUUUUUCUUGCUUUUGAACCCAUGAUGUCUGGCUACUUGUAGAUACUCAAUAUUUGUGGGAUGAAUGAACAAUUUAAGCCUUUUUUUUUUUUAACCAGAAAUUGGUCUUCUGUGACUUUCUUGAUGGGGGCAGAUGAGAUCUUUGUACUGCAUUAAGUGGAUAGCGCUCAGGUCCUUUGGGCUUGGCGCUUUGGCAAUCUCCAGGCAGCUCACUUUGGCCUCUGUUCCUGGAUCCCCUUUGCUCUUUUCUGCGCCUGCAUUCGUAAGUGAUCACGGGCUGCCCGUGUCCUGGUCAUUGGUAGUGCAGGCAGAGGAAAUGCGGGAAAGGUUGCUGUGUUUGGAGGGUCCACAUCUUCACCCUCCUGUCCCAGGAGCUUUCCUACACUCCUCCUUCUCAAAGCUGCACACACCUGGGGCCUCCAGGGGAUUGGGGGCUGCCGUGUGUGUUAUAUCAUGAUUAGAGCUUUCACUUCCUGCUCCCUGCUGUUGGGAACCAGGCUGUGUGUGUUGCUUAAAUUCCCCUUGAUGACCAGCAGAGUCACUGCCACUCAGCCAUGGCACACUGCUGUAAACCUGGUUUUGAUCUCCUUUCAAUCUUUUGCUGAUUAACUACACAUUGAUCAGUGUUGGCCACCCUCACCCUGCCAUAGACCAUCCGCUGUCUUCCUCUGUAGAGUUAACUAUUUUCUCUUUUAUGAGGAAAUAGUGUGUUUGCUUAGGAGUGUUUACUGUCUGGUAACUACUGUGCUAAGCCCUUUCCUGUUGCCUGCCAUCCCUGCUGCGAGCAGGGACAAGCUGGGUGCUCACUCAUGGCAUCUUAUCUGUUGCAGAUAGUCCACUGUGUGCAGAGGCAUGGGAGUUGUCAUGUUGGGAACAUGCUAGACCUCAGUAUCCUUGAGGGAUGCUGCCUUGGGUCUGGAAACUGUUAGAGGAAACCCCAAGAGGUGCAGGCACUGAGCCUCUCAGGACAAUGACCUGGGGUCCCAGCUCCCCUGGAGGGGCCUCCUCAUGAUUGUUUGGGGGUUGAUCACAGACCAAGAGUGACGAGUGAUGUCACCCUGUGACUCAUGGCUGGACCUUCUUGCCCCUAUUGUCUCAGCACAACAUUAUUCGACUUUUCCCUCAGCGUGGGUGGGCAGAGGAAAAGCCCUGUGGCUCUGGGGACUUGGGAUCCAGAGUUGAAGACCCUUCAGCUGGCUCUGCCCUGCCAGUGCCACAGAGUGCCAUGGCCCAGGAAGACAGGUUUUCUUCCAUCUAGGCCAGGCCAUCCAGUGGCCAUCCUCCGUGUCCUCCCGCCUCCUCCUGGUGUGACUUCUGAAAACCAAGAAUUUGUUCCUGUUGACUUUUUCUGUGCUAUGGACCAUUGUCCUCUCACCCACUCAAUAAAUCUUGAAACAUGC
rnacentral:lncRNA from 1 species